AACGUGGGAGACGAACGUUAUCCGGAGUUACUGGGCGUAAAGGGCGUGUAGGCGGUUUGUUAAGUCUGGCGUGAAAGCUCUCGGCUAAACCGGGAGAGGUCGUUGGAUACUGGCGAACUAGAGGAUGGUAGAGGCGUGUGGAAUUCCGGGUGUAGUGGUGAAAUGCGUAGAGAUCCGGAGGAACACCAGUGGCGAAGGCGACACGCUGGGCCAUACCUGACGCUAAAGCGCGACAGCAUGGGGAGCAAACGGG
rnacentral:rRNA from 1 species